GCGGCGGGGCGGGGCGGGGCGGGGGCGGGGCCGGGGCGGGCCGGGGGCGGGGCCGGGGCGGGGCGGGCCGGGGGCGGGGGCGGGGCCUCCCUCCGGCCUCCCAUUGGCUGCGGCGGCCGCGGGCUGCGGGCCGGGAGCUGGGGGCGCGGGAGGUGGGCCCUGGCGGCGCCCGGCGCGCGGCGCAGGAGCCGGCCUGGCGGGGGUCUGGGCGGUGGCCCCCCUGCUGCUGUGCCUGCUGCAGUCGGCGCUCGGGAAGCCCUGUCUGGCCCCUCCCCAGAACGUGACACUGCUCUCCCGGAACUUCAGUGUGUACCUGACUUGGCUCCCGGGGCCUGGCUACUCCCAGAAUGUGACCUAUUUUGUGGCCUAUCAGAGGUAGAGGGGAGCCUCCAAUCUGGGGACUGAAGAGGUGGGCAGAGGCUGGAGGGGCUUGGCUGGGACAGCUGCCCUGGGCAUGGUCAGCUUCCUGGUUCUAUGUCCCAUGGGAGGCAGCACAUGGCAGGUGCUUGGAGAGCACCCUUUUAAAGGUCUGGAGGUGGGAAGGAUGUAAUCAGGAGGGCGGUACACAGGUGCUGGGUCUGCCGGGGCUCAGGAGAUCUUUGAGAAGAGUCCAACAGGGCUCAAGUAGAGCUACAGGGCCCAGUGGUGGAAUUCCUCAGGGCUUGGAUGAGGGGCUUGGGACGGUUCCAGCUGACAAGGGAGAGCAUAUCUCCUGCAGAGCCUGUGGUAGGCACUGCUAGAGGAUCGCCCUGUUCCCUACAAAGCCCCGGGGUCCUUCUCAACCCCAGCGGUCCAGGCCACCACUAUGAAACCAGAGAAAUCUGAAAGUGGAAGCACAUUUGCCAUCUUUGCACAUAAAUGGGAAUCAUUUGAGGUUCUCUAAUGGGCCAGUCAGGUGAUGAAAGCAGAUAGUCAAGAGGACCAUCUAGGAUUGGCGAGGAGGAAGAGGAAGCAGGCAGGGGACGUAAGUGCCAUGUGCACAGGGCCCACCUAUGCCAGGCUGAGUCCUAACAUCUUGCGUGACUAUUUCACUUCUGCCUCCCUGUAUAGCCAGGCAGGUGCUACAUUUCCCCUAUGUUAUUUUUUUUAAGAUUUUAUUUAUUUUAUUAGAGGGAGAGAGUGUGAGCAGGGGGAGGAACAGAGGGACUGUUGAGCCUGACACAGGGCUCCCUCUCACGACCCUGAGAUCAUGACCUGAGUCGACAUCAAGAGUCAGAUGCUUCAUCGGCUAAGCCACCCAGGUGCCCCUGUACUUCCCCCAUUUUAGAGGCAAGGAACCUGAGCUCAGAGAGGUGCCACGAUUUGCCAAGGAAACCAGGGACUGAACCAGGAGAAAAACCACCAUCUGCCUGGUGCCAAAGCU
rnacentral:lncRNA from 1 species